rnacentral:rRNA from 1 species
CCUGGCUCAGGAUGAACGCUGGCGGCGUGCCUAACACAUGCAAGUCGAACGAAGCAAUUAUGAAAGCGUCUUCGGACAAUGGAUUAAUUGACUGAGUGGCGGACGGGUGAGUAACGCGUGGGUAACCUGCCUCAUACAGGGGGAUAACAGUUGGAAACGACUGCUAAUACCGCAUAAGCGCACAGGACCGCAUGGUCUGGUGUGGAAAAACUCCGGUGGUAUGAGAUGGACCCGCGUCUGAUUAGCUAGUUGGUGGGUAACGGCCUACCAAGGCGACGAUCAGUAGCCGACCUGAGAGGGUGACCGGCCACAUUGGGACUGAGACACGGCCCAAACUCCUACGGGAGGCAGCAGUGGGGAAUAUUGCACAAUGGGCGAAAGCCUGAUGCAGCGACGCCGCGUGAGCGAAGAAGUAUUUCGGUAUGUAAAGCUCUAUCAGCAGGGAAGAAAAAAUGACGGUACCUGACUAAGAAGCACCGGCUAAAUACGUG